rnacentral:rRNA from 1 species
ACGGUUCGGCCGAGCACUCUAAAUAGACUGCCUUCGUAAGGAGGAGGAAGGUGUGGACGACGUCAAGUCAUCAUGGCCCUUAUGCCCAGGGCGACACACGUGCUACAAUGGCAUAUACAAUGAGACGCAAUACCGCGAGGUGGAGCAAAUCUAUAAAAUAUGUCCCAGUUCGGAUUGUUCUCUGCAACUCGAGAGCAUGAAGCCGGAAUCGCUAGUAAUCGUAGAUCAGCCAUGCUACGGUGAAUACGUUCCCGGGUCUUGUACUCACCGCCCGUCACACCAUGGGAGUUGAUUUCACUCGAAGCCGGAAUACUAAACUAGUUACCGUCCACAGUGGAAUCAGCGACUGGGGUGAAGUCGUAACAAGGUAACCGUAGGAGAACCUGCGGUUGGAUCACCUCCUUUCUAG